CCCAGUUUCCCAUUCCCAGUUUCCCCAGUUUCCCAUCCCAGUCCAUCCCAGUCCAUCCCAGUACCUGCAGCGGGUACGUGCGGUCGGGGUCGAAGGCGCUCAGGUCCCAUUCCCAUAUCAGUUCCCCCAUUCCCAUCCCAGU
rnacentral:lncRNA from 1 species